rnacentral:rRNA from 1 species
GAUGAACGCUAGCGACAGGCUUAACACAUGCAAGCCGAGGGGCAGCACGGGAGUAGCAAUACAACUGGUGGCGACCGGCGCACGGGUGAGUAACGCGUAUGCAACCUACCUAUCAGAGGGGAAUAACCCGGCGAAAGUCGGACUAAUACCGCAUAAAACAGGGGCACCGCAUGGUGAUAUUUGUUAAAGAAAUUCGCUGAUAGAUGGGCAUGCGUUCCAUUAGGUAGUUGGUGAGGUAACGGCUCACCAAGCCGACGAUGGAUUGGGGAACUGAGAGGUUGGUCCCCCACACUGGUACUGAGACACGGACCAGACUCCUACGGGAGGCAGCAGUGAGGAAUAUUGGUCAAUGGGCGGGAGCCUGAACCAGCCAAGUCGCGUGAAGGAAGAAGGAUCUAUGGUUCGUAAACUUCUUUUGCAGGGGAAUAAAGUGCAGGACGUGUCCUGUUUUGUAUGUACCCUGAGAAUAAGGAUCGGCUAACUCCGCGCCAGCAGCCGCGGUAAAAC